UGCAUUAUUCACAGGCGGGCAAGAAGUCCGAGUUAGGGAUCCUGAAAAGGAGGGAACAAUUGUAGCAGUUCUAAAAGUUCAGGUCCAGGAAAUGGAAACAUUGCUUUGCUUUUCCUGAAUUGUCCAGUGACCUAUCCCAGGCCUUCCUUUCCAGUGAACAAUAGACCAUGCAGGUGGACCCUCCUCUUCACCGGCCUCCAAAUGACUUUCUCAUUUUUCAAAUCAUUCCUCUGCACUCACUUUCUAUAAUGGUAGAGAAAUGCAUAUCCUGGAGUCUAAAGUUAAAACUUUGUUUUAUUGAGAUUAAUGUUUAGGUAGAAUCACAUCAUCCAUCUUCUCCAAUCUUCUCCAAAGACCUCAGUUUUAAAGUAUGACAGGAUUAGAGAUGACC
rnacentral:sRNA from 1 species